rnacentral:lncRNA from 1 species
AUAUUCUUGUUACGUGGCAAUUAUAUAUUAUUAGCUACGCAUCAAUAAUUCUAUUGCUACAAAUUGAAGAAUUUGCCACAAGCAUUGUCAGGCACAAGAAUUUGGAAGCUAAGAAUCCAAAUCUUUUAGAUUCCAAAAUAGGUUCCAAGUUAAUCAUAAUUGUAUAUUUAAAAUUUCAAAACAUUUACAAUGCAUAAUUCUCUAUGUAUCGGAUCGUGUUAGCAAUAUUUUACUUGAGACCAAAAGCCACACAAUCUUCUCCUUUCUCUCCUGCUAUUGCUCCAACUGCACCUUAGUCUGAUAAAUACAAUCUUAGCUUGAUGAUUCUACAAUUUGCCUGUCAGUUUUAAUAAAGUAAAUUAAUAUUAGGAAACAAAAUAUAAUUGAUCAUAUAUACACUUUAUUAAUAGGUUCAAAAUGAUCAUAUAUUUUGUAGAAAAGCAUUAUAGAUUUCCUUCUCAUAAAAAGAUCAUAUAUCUCUCUAAUGGUUUAUUUAGUACUUUACUUAUUUCUCCUUAACAUGCUUAUAUGAACAAUUUUAUGAGAUAAUAAAACUCCCAAUAGCCCUAAAAAGGAUAGUAAAAUUCCAAAUAUUUCAUAAUACAACUCAAUCCUUUACCGUAGAUGUUUCUUUAAACAAAUCCUUAGCUCAAUCAAAGAACAAGCAUGUAGUCCUACAAUAUCAUUUUAUGGAAGAACUAUAGGAAAUGAACCCACAUAUAUAUUAACAUGAGCAAUAACAGGCGUAGGAAAUACCAAUAGAAUUCAUUCACAUCGAUAAAAGAGCAAUAUCGAUUAAAAAAAAUUCGUAAUCACCUGAAACCACAUAGGAAAAGGAUCAAAAUUAAUUUCAUAAAAAAUGAUUAAAGUAUCUCCUGAAUCAUAUUUCAAAAGCUUCAACCAUAACAAGAUAAAGUAUUACUAAUAUACCAAUCUAUU